CUCGCCUCUCUUAUCCAUCUUCUUCAUCCUCACCCCCAAGGCCAAACUGAAAAAAACCUCGGAAGAAAUCAAUUAAAUCGUUUCUCUUAAACCCAGCCCCUUUCCCCGUCUUCAGUAAACCUUAGAUGUUGUUUCAACGAAACUAAUAAAUCCACCCUUAUAUUGAUUCUUCUUCUAAAAUCCCUCAACUCACUAGUAAAGUUAUAAAUCUCAAAUCUGCUGGGAAUAGAUUCAAUCCAAGUUUUUUUUGUUUUCAUUCUAGAGUUUCUCUAACUAUAUAUAAAUAAAAUAUUAUGAAUGAUUACUGCUACAACUUUUACUUUUCUAGGGUUUGAGAAUCUGGAGCCGUUCUUUGAAGAUUUAGAUUGAUUGGGGUCUAGUCUUCAAUUCAAUUGAAGAUGUAGAUUUUGAUUUAAAUUGAUUGAAAAUCCUCAGAGGGAUUAUAUUGACUUCUACCAGUGGAUAUCAAUUUAUAGGUAGAUCUUUUGGUGGGUUUUGUCUUAGCUACAGAGGCUGUAAGAUGAGAGGAGACUGCCGAUUGAAGCCAUUCUGGAUGAGACAUUGAAAUACUUUCUAGGUGGUACUGG